rnacentral:tRNA from 1 species
GGGGAUGUAGCGCAGUGGAAAGCGCGCGACUCUGCGAAGGUCGAGGUCGAGGGUUCAAUUCCUUCCAUCCCCA